UCAAUUGCCGGCGACCGGCGCACGGGUGAGUAACGCGUAUCCAACCUUCCGUACACUCAGGGAUAGCCUUUCGAAAGAAAGAUUAAUACCUGAUGGUAUGAUGAGAUUGCAUGAUAGCAUCAUUAAAGAUUUAUCGGUGUACGAUGGGGAUGCGUUCCAUUAGGUAGUAGGCGGGGUAACGGCCCACCUAGCCAACGAUGGAUAGGGGUUCUGAGAGGAAGGUCCCCCACAUUGGAACUGAGACACGGUCCAAACUCCUACGGGAGGCAGCAGUGAGGAAUAUUGGUCAAUGGACGAGAGUCUGAACCAGCCAAGUAGCGUGAAGGAUGAAGGUCCUACGGAUUGUAAACUUCUUUUAUAAGGGAAUAAACCCUCCCACGUGUGGGAGCUUGUAUGUACCUUAUGAAUAAGCAUCGGCUAACUCCGUGCCAGCAGCCGCGGUAAUACGGAGGAUGCGAGCGUUAUCCGGAUUUAUUGGGUUUAAAGGGAGCGCAGACGGGUCGUUAAGUCAGCUGUGAAAGUUUGGGGCUCAACCUUAAAAUUGCAGUUGGUACUGGCGUCCUUGAGUGCGGUUGAGGUGUGCGGAAUUCGUGGUGUAGCGGUGAAAUGCUUAGAUAUCACGAAGAACUCCGAUUGCG
rnacentral:rRNA from 1 species